rnacentral:rRNA from 1 species
UACGGAGGAUCCGAGCGUUUAUCCGGAUUUAUUGGGUUUAAAGGGUGCGUAGGCGGCUUUGUAAGUCAGUGGUGAAAUGUUAGAGCUUAACUUUAAAAUUGCCAUAGAUACUGCAGAGCUUGAGUACAGCUGAGGUGGGCGGAAUGAGUCAUGUAGCGGUGAAAUGCAUAGAUAUGACUCAGAACGCCAAUUGCGAAGGCAGCUCACUAAAAGUGCAACUGACGCUGAGGCACGAAAGCGUGGGGAUCAAACAGGA